rnacentral:SRP_RNA from 2 species
GUCGGGCAUGGUGGCGCAUGCCUGUAGUUCCAGCUACUCAGGAGGCUGAGGCAGGAGAAUCACUUGAACCUGGGAGGUGGAGGUUGCAGUAAGCCGAGAUUGUGCCACUGCACUCCAGCCUGGGUGACAGAGUGAGACUCUGUCUCAU